UAGUUGGGUUGGUGGCCUCUUUAGGCUUGUAAAUAAAGGUUGUGUCAUGUGGACACGUGUGAGAGAUUUUCGGUCUGUAAUGGACCAUUUUACCCUUUGUUGUGCAACUGUUCAAAGCUUGUAAAGUCUGUUUGUAAUUUGCAUUGUUUAUGAAGUGUUUUUCGGAGAUGUUUGCUUGUGGAUCCCGAUUGAGGUGUUCUCUCUAACCCGUUCUCUCUUUU
rnacentral:lncRNA from 1 species